CGUGCAGGCGGGUUGGUAAGUCAGAUGUGAAAGCCCUGGGCUCAACCCAGGAAGUGCAUUUGAAACUGCCAUCCUUGAGUAUGGGAGAGGAGAGUGGAAUUCCCAAUGUAGAGGUGAAAUUCGUAGAUAUUGGGAGGAACACCCGUGGCGAAGGCGACUCUCUGGACCAAUACUGACGCUGAGACGCGAAAGCGUGGGGAGCAAACA
rnacentral:rRNA from 1 species